rnacentral:rRNA from 1 species
UACGUAGGGGGCAAGCGUUGUUCGGAAUUACUGGGCGUAAAGGGCGCGUAGGCGGCACGGCAAGUCGGGCGUGAAAGGCCUGGGCUCAACCGAGGAACUGCUUUCGAGACUGCCGAGCUAGAGUGCGGAAGGGGCAACUGGAAUUCCCAGUGUAGCGGUGAAAUGCGUAGAUAUUGGGAAGAACACCUGAGGCGAAGGCGGGUUGCUGGGCCGACACUGACGCUGAGGCGCGAAAGCCAGGGGAGCAAACGGG